rnacentral:tRNA from 2 species
UGGGGAUUUGUGUAAUGGCAGCACGACAGACUCUGACUCUGUUUGUGAGGGUUCAAAUCCUUCAUCCCCAGCCA